UACGUAGGGUGCGAGCGUUGCCCGGAUUUAUUGGGCGUAAAGGGCGCGUAGGCGGGGCCGCGCGUCGCACGGGAAAUCUCCCGGCUUACCUGGGAGGGGUCGUGCGAUACGGCGGUCCACGAGCGCGGGAGAGGGAAGCGGAAUUCCCGGUGUAGUGGUGGAAUGCGUAGAGAUCGGGAGGAACACCAGUGGCGAAGGCGGCUUCCUGGACCGUGGCUGACGCUGAGGCGCGAAAGCGUGGGGAGCGAUCCGG
rnacentral:rRNA from 1 species